rnacentral:rRNA from 1 species
AGAGUUGAUCAUGGCUCAGGAUGAACGCUAGCGACAGGCUUAACACAUGCAAGUCGAGGGGCAGCUAUAAAAGUAGCAUACGUUGGUGGCGACCGGCGCACGGGUGAGUAACGCGUAUGCAACCUACCUAUCGAGAGGGGAAUAACCCGGCGAAAGUCGGACUAAUACCGGCAUAAAACAGGGGCACCGCAUGGUGAUAUUUGUUAAAGAAAUUCGCUGAUAGAUGGGCAUGCGUUCCAUUAGGUAGUUGGUGAGGUAACGGCUCACCAAGCCGACGAUGGAUAGGGGAACUGAGAGGUUGGCCCCCCACACUGGUACUGAGACACGGACCAGACUCCUACGGGAGGCAGCAGUGAGGAAUAUUGGUCAAUGGGCGGGAGCCUGAACCAGCCAAGUCGCGUGAAAGGAAGAAGGAUCUGUGGUUCGUAAACUUCUUUUGCAGGGGAAUAAAGUGCAGGACGUGUCCUGUUUUGUAUGUACCCUGAGAAUAAGGAUCGGCUAACUCCGUGCCAGCAGCCGC